UUUCUGUGUCAACCACCAGAGAGAAGACUUCCUUACUGAGGGUGGGAUGAUGAGGGACUUUGAUAAUAGGUGGACGUAUGGCUUGUAGAUUGCCCUGAGCCACCCCUACAGAUACCUCAUGGGCAAAUUAGCAUUUUACCAUGAAGUUGCAAACUGCCAUAUGACUCAAUAGUUGAAGGCAGUCUUGGCUGUAAUUUUGAGAGAGGACUGUAGAGUCAUGACCAAGUCCAUGAUUUUGUGAAAAUGCUCCAUUAGGAAGGGAAGUGAGUGUACACGCGAAGUCAAGACCAAGAGGUUAGAAGACAUCUCCUGUGAUGGAGAGGGAGCAUCGAGCAUCAGAUUCGGAGCACGCAUUGAGGAGACAGUAGUCGAGCCAGACAGGCUGCGAGAGCGGGGAGGUUGACACCACCUGGGCCAGACUCCCGACACCAGGUGACCCACAGGCGCUGGAGAACCAGAAAGAACUCAUGCAGGAGCACAUCUCUGCACUCCGAUCCCUGCAGGACCAGAGACUGAAGGAGGACAUCCGGGUGUGGCAAGAGACCUGAAGGGAGUUGCUGGAACAGGGCCGCACCAUGCGCAUGGCAGUUCAAGCGCUCACUGUCGGCAUGGUACCUGCUCCUGCUCCUGCUCCUGUUCCACCUAGGUCCAACCAUAGCUCCUGCUCUUCCUUCUCCCCCUAGACCUCCUCCCACUCUGUAGCCGCCGAGGUCCCUGCACCAGAGCCAGGCACCACUCCCAGUCCCAGCCCUGAACCUCUUCUCACCCCUUCGCCCCCUUCCAGCUCCCUCCUCCCCCUCCAAGGUUCUCAU